rnacentral:rRNA from 1 species
UACGGAGGGUGCGAGCGUUGUCCGGAAUCACUGGGCGUAAAGGGCGCGUAGGUGGCUCGUGAAGCGUGCGGUGAAAGUCCGAGGCUCAACCUCGGAUCGGCCGUGCGGACUCGCGGGCUCGAGCGUUGUAGAGGCGGGUGGAAUUCCGGGUGUAGCGGUGGAAUGCGUAGAGAUCCGGAAGAACACCCGUGGCUAAGGCGGCUCUCUAGUACGGUACUGACGCUGAGACGCGAAAGCGUGGGGAGCGAACAGG